rnacentral:rRNA from 1 species
CUCAAAGGAGACUGCCGGUGAUAAACCGGAGGAAGGUGGGGAUGACGUCAAGUCAUCAUGGCCCUUACGAGUAGGGCUACACACGUGCUACAAUGGCAUAUACAAAGAGAAGCGACCUCGCGAGAGCAAGCGGACCUCAUAAAGUAUGUCGUAGUCCGGAUUGGAGUCUGCAACUCGACUCCAUGAAGUCGGAAUCGCUAGUAAUCGUAGAUCAGAAUGCUACGGUGAAUACGUUCCCGGGCCUUGUACACACCGCCCGUCACACCAUGGGAGUGGGUUGCAAAAGAAGUAGGUAGCUUAACCUUCGGGAGGGCGCUUACCACUUUGUGAUUCAUGACUGGGGUGAAGUCGUAACAAGGUAACCGUAGGGGAACCUGCGGUUGGAUCACCUCCUUACCUUAAAGAA